rnacentral:rRNA from 1 species
CAGCAGCCGCGGUAAUACAGAGGGUGCAAGCGUUAAUCGGAAUUACUGGGCGUAAAGCGCGCGUAGGUGGUUCGUUAAGUUGGAUGUGAAAUCCCCGGGCUCAACCUGGGAACUGCAUCCAAAACUGGCGAGCUAGAGUAGGGCAGAGGGUGGUGGAAUUUCCUGUGUAGCGGUGAAAUGCGUAGAUAUAGGAAGGAACACCAGUGGCGAAGGCGACCACCUGGGCUCAUACUGACACUGAGGUGCGAAAGCGUGGGGAGCAAACAGGAUUAGAUACCCCGGUAGCCCUGUCUCUUAUACA